rnacentral:tRNA from 1 species
GGGGUUGUACCUCAGUGGUACAGUGCUCGCCUCGCAUGUGUGAGGCAUUGGGUUCAAUCCUCAGUACCUCA